CCCGCACACCCACGUGACUUGGAGGCACAGCCUGGGGAGCAGAGGGGAGUGUGGCCUUUGAGUGGAAGUGAGCUGGCUGGAGUGAGCGGGCGUGAGGGGCGGUUCGUGUGUGUUGAGUGGAAGCACCCGUGGCGGUGGGGGCUGACUGUCAGCCUCCCAGUCACUGGGAUCCCAGGCCUGCACCCCGGCCUGGAGCCAGCAUUUAAACCCUGGUCCUGGGUCGGAGUCCUGCUUACACUCUAGGGAGAGACAGCGCCUCCGGCCCCAGGAGAACCUGGAUCCAGUCAGCGUUCCUCUCCAGACCUGGACCUGGGAAGAAUCGCACCUCUGUGGCCAGAUUGUGCUGAGGCUCAGGUCCACCGUCCUGCAGCUGGCAAGCUGCGCUGGCCUUGGGUUCAAAGAGGGACGAAGCCGGGGCGUCCGUGGCCCCCUCCCCUGGCGGGCCAGAGCCGCACCUGGAGGGUGAAGCAGCCCCCCACGCAGGCACUGGCCCUGCUCCGGGGCCCCAGCGGAGGAUGUGCCCCUCCGUCGUCCCGCAGCUUCCUGCUCAAGUGGCAUCCUCGUGUCUCAAGAGGGGAGCUCCUUCCGAGAUGCUCGUUCAGUGCCUGCCAUGUGCCGAGUCCUCAGGGGACACGGGGCAGGUCUCCCCUCACCCGGCCUUCGCGUCCUCCCUGUCCCCAGCACGGGCAGUCCCUGCUAGCCCGCAGGAGGCCGGGGCUCACCUGGGACUUCCUGUGUGGGACAGAUACCGCUCUGCACACGAAUGUCAUGUAUGUUUUGUGUUGCGGGGGCAUCGGGGGCAUCGGGGGCAUCGGGGCCUGAACCCAGAGGCUCUGCCUGGGAGCCACAGCCCAGCCCUUUCCACUUUUUAUUUCCAGACAGGGUCUCACUAAGGUGCCCAGGUGGCCUUGAACUUGAGGUCACCAGCUCAGCCUCCGGUUGCUGGGCUGACGGGCUGCACCAGGGCACCCAGCUGCGUGGUCCGGUGCUCAGUCACGGGUCCUGCACGUCCCUGCCCGCUUCUGCGUCCCGUACUCUUACAGACUGUUCCUGCUUUUCAACGUCACGCUUAACACUUCUCACAUCUGAAGACAGAGAUCCUAUUUCUUUCUGAGUUUCUUUUUUCACAAAAUGUUUCCUCUGUUUUAAAAGAUGAUGAUGAUGAUGAUGAUGAUGUGGUACUGGGGUUUGAAGCAGGGGGCUUAACCACUGAGCC